GAGCCAACCCUAGGUCAUUCUUCCCCUCCUCCCCCGCAUUUCUCGCUCCCAAGACCGGCGGCAGCUUUCAGCGGUGGUUCGAAGCGCACCGGCCUUGGCGGCGCGGCGGCUGCGCUCGCUGGAGGAGCGUGCAGCGGAGUCAUUCCCACGUGCUUCUCUGUCGAGCGUGGCUCUGGCGUUCGUGCGCAUGGCACAUCAGGAGGGCAAGAUGGGGCGUCGGCCACCGCGUCAUGAAGAGGUCGACGGCGGCGUGCGGGGCGACGGCCCAUACACGCGCACGUCCGUAAGAGCGGCAGCAUGGCGCAGGAGCAUUCCGCGCGUCGGCCAGGGCACGACGGCGUCUCCGCCCUCGCACAACGGUGGGCGCUGUGCGGGCCCCGAAGGGAAAAGGCGGCUACGGCGCAUUUGGGAAAAUGGUGCAUCUGGCAAACCGUGUGCACAUCGGAUGCAUGCUAUGGGUCAGUUUUCAAGAUAGGAAGUACACAAAGGUCUAGUAACAGUUUGUCUGGCUUCGGUGAAGAAGGGGUGAUGACGGCGGCGUGCAUCGACUUGUUUCAAUGCUUGUAGUCGUCGUUACUAGAUGAUCCAUGAAAAUGGUUGUAAUUUUUUGAUAUUCUUUGUACUGUGAUAAUUUAGAACGAAUAGAUUGAAAGCUUCUUGAAAAAAAGAUGACACAAGAAGGACACACGCAAAAGUAUGAAAGCUCCAGAUCAUAGUGCCAAGUACCACCAGCCCAAUAAGCUGUUAACGUACGUACGGUAGGUGCCGUGGAGAGUCCGUAAGAAUACGUAUUGUAUUGUCACGCUCACAAAAGUACCAGUGCCAUAGCUCAAGAUUGACGAGCCAACCGCUUUCGAAAACAACGUUACUGAAUGUUAGAUGUAAAAUAUCAUGCAUAUAUACCACUGUCAAUCGCUCGAGAUUGCGUAGCCAAUUGCUCCACUGGCUCCCCGAAAACUGUUUAGGCAUUGAAAGCAAUGCUCAACUAUUGGCAAACAACCUGCUCAAAAACUCUAUCCACCUCUGCCACAUCUACCGUCUCCUCCAGUACAUUUUUAGACUAUCCAUAGUGGUAGUAAUAUAGAUGAUAACAUCACAUAUCUUCAGACAAAACAAAUAAUGUGGCAAGUAAUUAAUGAGGAAUGAGGUGCAUGUGGUAACAUAACAUCACACAUCUCAAGACAAGACGAGUCUACAACCUAAUAAAUGAAGUGUUGCAUGACACCACAUACUCCCUUCGUUUUUUUUAGU